ACUUAAAUUGAAGAGUUUGAUCAUGGCUCAGAUUGAACGCUGGCGGCAGGCCUAACACAUGCAAGUCGAGCGGCAGCGGGAAGUAGCUUGCUACUUUGCCGGCGAGCGGCGGACGGGUGAGUAAUGUCUGGGAAACUGCCUGAUGGAGGGGGAUAACUACUGGAAACGGUAGCUAAUACCGCAUAACGUC
rnacentral:rRNA from 1 species